AGCAGCCGCGGUAAUUCCAGCUCCAAUAGCGUAUAUUAAAGUUGUUGCAGUUAAAAAGCUCGUAGUUGAAUUUCGGGACCAUCAUGUCGGUCGUGCCUCGGUACGUACUGGCAUUGUUGGUUUCUCCCUUCUGACGAACCAUGAUGUCAUUUAUUUGGUGUUGUGGGGAAUCAGGACUGUUACUUUGAAAAAAUUAGAGUGUUUAAAGCAGGCUCACGCUUGAAUACAUUAGCAUGGAAUAAUGAAAUAGGACGUUUGAUUCUAUUUUGUUGGUUUCUAGGAUCGACGUAAUGAUUAAUAGGGAUAGUUGGGGGCAUUAGUAUUCAAUUGUCAGAGGUGAAAUUCUUGGAUUUAUUGAAGACUAACUACUGCGAAAGCAUUUGCCAAGGAUGUUUUCAUUAAUCAAGAACGAAAGUUAGGGGAUCGAAGACGAUCAGAUACCGUCGUAGUCUUAACCAUAAACUAUAGCCGACUAGGGAUCGGAUGGUGUUAAUUUUUUAAUGACUCAUUCGGCGUCCG
rnacentral:rRNA from 1 species